UGGCUGGGGGUGAAAGGCCAAUCAAACCGGGAGAUAGCUGGUUCUCCCCGAAAGCUAUUUAGGUAGCGCCUCGUGAACUCAUCUUCGGGGGUAGAGCACUGUUUCGGCUAGGGGGUCAUCCCGACUUACCAACCCGAUGCAAACUACGAAUACCGAAGAAUGUUAUCACGGGAGACACACGGCGGGUGCUAACGUCCGUCGUGAAGAGGGAAACAACCCAGACCGCCAGCUAAGGUCCCAAAGUCAUGGUUAAGUGGGAAACGAUGUGGGAAGGCACAGACAGCCAGGAUGUUGGCUUAGAAGCAGCCAUCAUUUAAAGAAAGCGUAAUAGCUCACUGGUCGAGUCGGCCUGCGCGGAAGAUGUAACGGGGCUAAACCAUGCACCGAAGCUGCGGCAGCGACGCUUAUGCGUUGUUGGGUAGGGGAGCGUUCUGUAAGCCUGCGAAGGUGGCCUGUGAGGGUUGCUGGAGGUAUCAGAAGUGCGAAUGCUGACAUAAGUAACGAUAAAGCGGGUGAAAAGCCCGCUCGCCGGAAGACCA
rnacentral:rRNA from 1 species